rnacentral:pre_miRNA from 1 species
AUAAUACUCCCUCCGUCCCAAAAUAAGUGACUCAAAACUUACUCAACUUUGUACUAACAUUAGUACAAAGUUGAGUCAUUUUUGAGUCACUUAUUUUGGGACGGAGGGAGUAGUAU